GGAGGAUCCGAGCGUUAUCCGGAUUUAUUGGGUUUAAAGGGAGCGUAGGUGGACUGGUAAGUCAGUUGUGAAAGUUUGCGGCUCAACCGUAAAAUNGCAGUUGAUACUGUCAGUCUNGAGUACAGUAGAGGUGGGCGGAAUUCGUGGUGUAGCGGUGAAAUGCUUAGAUAUCACGAAGAACUCCGAUUGCGAAGGCAGCUCACUGGACUGCAACUGACACUGAUGCUCGAAAGUGUGGGUAUCAAACAGGAUUAGAUACCCUGGUAGUCCACACAGUAAACGAUGAAUACUCGCUGUUUGCGAUAUACAGUAAGCGGCCAAGCGAAAGCAUUAAGUAUUCCACCUGGGGAGUACGCCGGCAACGGUGAAACUCAAAGG
rnacentral:rRNA from 1 species